GAGGGUAUAGCUCAGUGGCAGAGUGUGUGCUUAGCAUGCACGAGGUCCUGGGUUCAAUCCCCAGUACUUCCA
rnacentral:tRNA from 1 species